rnacentral:rRNA from 1 species
GACGUAGGGCGCGAGCGUUGUCCGGAUUUAUUGGGCGUAAAGAGCUCGUAGGCGGCUUGUCGCGUCGUCCGUGAAAACUCACAGCUCAACUGUGAGCUUGCGGGCGAUACGGGCAGGCUAGAGUUCGGUAGGGGAGACUGGAAUUCCUGGUGUAGCGGUGAAAUGCGCAGAUAUCAGGAGGAAGACCAGUGGCGAAGGCGGGUCUCUGGACAGUUCCUGACGCUGAGGCACGAAGGCCAGGGGGAGCAAACGGGG